rnacentral:rRNA from 1 species
AUUGAACGCUGGCGGCAUGCCUUACACAUGCAAGUCGAACGGCAGCACGGGUGCUUGCACCUGGUGGCGAGUGGCGAACGGGUGAGUAAUACAUCGGAACAUGUCCUGUAGUGGGGGAUAGCCCGGCGAAAGCCGGAUUAAUACCGCACACGAUCUACGGAUGAAAGCGGGGGACCUUCGGGCCUCGCGCUAUAGGGUUGGCCGAUGGCUGAUUAGCUAGUUGGUGGGGUAAAGGCCUACCAAGGCGACGAUCAGUAGCUGGUCUGAGAGGACGACCAGCCACACUGGGACUGAGACACGGCCCAGACUCCUACGGGAGGCAGCAGUGGGGAAUUUUGGACAAAGGGCGAAAGCCUGAUCCAGCAAUGCCGCGUGUGUGAAGAAGGCCUUCGGGUUGUAAAGCACUUUUGUCCGGAAAGAAAUCCUUGGCCCUAAUACGGUCGGGGGAUGACGGUACCGGAAGAAUAAGCACCGGCUAACUACGUG